rnacentral:rRNA from 1 species
GCGACCUCAGUUCGGAUUGAAGGCUGAAAUUCGCCUUCAUGAAGUCGGAAUUGCUAGUAAUGGCAGGUCAGCAUACUGCCGUGAAUACGUUCCCGGGCCUUGUACACACCGCCCGUCACACCAUGAGAGUUGGAGAUAUCCGAAGCCUAUGAGCUAACUUUUAGAGGCAGUAGUCGAAGGUAGAAUCAAUGAUUGGGGUGAAGUCGUAACAAGGUAGC